GACGAACGCUGGCGGCGUGCCUAAUACAUGCAAGUAGAACGCACAGUUUAUACCGUAGCUUGCUACACCAUAGACUGUGAGUUGCGAACGGGUGAGUAACGCGUAGGUAACCUGCCUGGUAGCGGGGGAUAACUAUUGGAAACGAUAGCUAAUACCGCAUAAUAUUAAUUAUUGCAUGAUAAUUAAUUGAAAGGUGCAAUUGCACCACUACCAGAUGGACCUGCGUUGUAUUAGCUAGUAGGUGAGGUAACGGCUCAACUAGGCGACGAUACAUAGCCGACCUGAGAGGGUGGUCGGCCACACUGGGACUGGGACACGGCCCAGACUCCUACGGGAGGCAGCAGUAGGGAAUCUUCGGCAAUGGACGAAAGUCUGACCGAGCAACGCCGCGUGAGUGAAGAAGGUUUUCGGAUCGUAAAGCUCUGUUGUAAGAGAAGAACGGGUGUGAGAGUGGAAAGUUCACACUGUGACGGUAUCUUACCAGAAAGGGACGGCUAACUACGUG
rnacentral:rRNA from 1 species